ACGAACGCUGGCGGCGUGCUUAACACCUGCAAGUCGAACGGAAAGGCUCCAGCUUGCUGGCGUACUCGCGUGGCGAACGGGUGAGUAACACGUGGGUAAUCUGCCCUGCACUCUGGGAUAAGCCUGGGAAACUGGGUCUAAUACUGGAUAUGACCUUUCUCCUUAUGGGGUUUGGUGGGAAGUUUUUCGGUGUAGGAUGAGCCCGCGGCCUAUCAGCUUGUUGGUGGGGUGAUGGCCUACCAAGGCGACGACGGGUAGCCGGCCUGAGAGGGUGAUCGGCCACAUUGGGACUGAGAUACGGCCCAGACUCCUACGGGAGGCAGCAGUGGGGAAUAUUGCACAAUGGGCGGAAGCCUGAUGCAGCGACGCCGCGUGAGGGAUGACGGCCUUCGGGUUGUAAACCUCUUUCAGCAGGGACGAAGCGUAAGUGACGGUACCUGCAGAAGAAGCACCGGCUAACUAUGUG
rnacentral:rRNA from 1 species